GGCUUGGUGGUGGAUGGUCCACAUCUGCGUUCCAUGGGUUUCGAUCAAUGACUGUUGAUGCAGAAGGAGCCCGUUCGAUUCGGGCCCGAGCCA